rnacentral:rRNA from 1 species
ACGCUCGACACCUACAGGCAGCAGUGGGGAAUAUUGCACAAUGGGGGAAACCCUGAUGCAGCAACGCCGCGUGAGUGAAGAAGUAUUUCGGUAUGUAAAGCUCUAUCAGCAGGGAAGAUAAUGACGGUACCUGACUAAGAAGCUCCGGCUAAAUACGUGCCAGCAGCCGCGGUAAUCUGAGGCGGGCUGGCAAGGC